rnacentral:tmRNA from 1 species
GGGGCUGACCGGUAUUGACGGGAGGCAUUGACGGUAAACCGGCAUGUAGUGGGUGUACAAAACCACUUUAAUCCAUUGUGCAAAUCAAUUUUAGCUGGCGACUAUCAAUACGCUAUGGCUGCUUAAUCUUAGAGAUUAACCACCAUUUGCCUUACGCUUGAGGUACCAUACACAGCGUAAAACGCAAUCAAACCCUGGUAACGCUUCGGCUAAGCAUCAUUCCCUUGGCCGAAAGUGUACAAAAGAAUGUAAGAGAAAGGUUGGAGGGUUACUUAUCCUGCCCAACUCCGACAAUCAAUAAGUAACUACACAUGUAGAAAGUUUAUCAUCAACUUAUCCGGACGUGGGUUCAAUUCCCACCAGCUCCACUU